rnacentral:rRNA from 1 species
GAUGAACGCUGGCGGCGUGCCUAAUACAUGCAAGUCGAGCGAACAGACGAGGAGCUUGCUCCUCUGACGUUAGCGGCGGACGGGUGAGUAACACGUGGAUAACCUACCUAUAAGACUGGGAUAACUUCGGGAAACCGGAGCUAAUACCGGAUAACAUGUUGAACCGCAUGGUUCAACAGUGAAAGACGGUCUUGCUGUCACUUAUAGAUGGAUCCGCGCCGCAUUAGCUAGUUGGUAAGGUAACGGCUUACCAAGGCAACGAUGCGUAGCCGACCUGAGAGGGUGAUCGGCCACACUGGAACUGAGACACGGUCCAGACUCCUACGGGAGGCAGCAGUAGGGAAUCUUCCGCAAUGGGCGAAAGCCUGACGGAGCAACGCCGCAUGAGUGAAGAAGGUCUUCGGAUCGUAAAACUCUGUUAUUAGGGAAGAACAAAUGUGUAAGUAACUAUGCACGUCUUGACGGUACCUAAUCAGAAAGCCACGGCUAACUACGUG